ACUCAGAUUGGGAAUGCCAUGGAUGCUUUACAGCAUAAAGUCGAACGGCAGCACGGACUUCGGUCUGGUGGCGAGUAAGAACGGGUGAGUACGAUGAUCGGACAAACGCUCUAGUAGCGGGGGAUAACUACGCUAAAGCGGGCUGACAAUACCGCAUACGCCCUUCGGGGGAAAGCGGGGGGAUCUUCGCCCGGUAAUCAUUAUUGAGAGCGGCCGAUAUCAGAUUAGCUAGUUGGUGGGGUAACGGCUCACCAAGGCGAUCCGUAGUUGGUUUGAGAGGACGACCAGCCACACUGACUCCAGACACGGCCCAGACUCAGCGGAGGCGCAGUGGGGAAUUUUGGACAAUGGGGAAACUCCUGAUCCAGGCCAUCCCGCGUGUGCGAUGAAGGCCUUCGGGGUUGUAAAGCACUUUUGGCAGGAAAGAAACGGCACGGGAUAAUACCCCGUGCAACUGACGGUACCUCUGCAGAAUAAGCAAUCGUUAACCACGUGCCAGCAGCCGCGGUAAUACGUAGGGUAAGCGUUAAUCGGAAUUACUAUGUAAAGUGCGCAGGCGGUUCGGAAAGAAAGAUGGUAAUCCCAGAGCUUAACUUGGAACUGCAUUUCUUAACUACCGAGCUGAGUGUGUCAGAGGGAGUGGGGAAUCUCCGCGUAGCAGAAAUGCGUAGAUAUGCGGAGGAACACCAUGGCAGCAGAAAGCCUCCUGGGACAAUAUCGACGUCAUGCAUCGAAAGCGUGGGGAGCAAACAGGAUUGUAUACUCCCGUAGUCCACGCCCUAAACGAUGUCAAUUAGCUGUUAGCUGGCCUGCAUGUGCCAACGCUGCGAAGUUAAUCGCCGCCUGUGGAGUACGGUCGCAAGAUUAAACUCAAAAGGAAUUGACGGGGACCCGCACAAGCGGUGGAUGAGCGUGAUUAAUUCCGAUGUACAACGCGAAAACCUUACCUACCCUUGACAUGUCUGGAAUCCCGAAGAAUGGGGAGUGCUCGCAAGAGAACCGGAACACAGGUGCUGCAUGGCUGUCGUCAGUCGUACAGCCGUGAGAUGUUGGGUUAAGUCCCGCAACGAGCGCAACCCUGUUUGAAUGGCAUACGAAAGGGCACCACCUUAAUGAGACUGCAGACAAACCGGAGGAAGCGGUGUAUGACGUCAAGUCCUCAUGGCCUCUGCGGUGAGGGCUUCACACGUCAUGUACAAUGGUCGGGACAGAGGGAAAUGCUAACCGCGAGGGGGAGCCAAUCCUAGAAACCCGAUCGUAGUCCGGAUCGCAGUCUGCAACUCGACUGCGUGAAGUCGGAAUCGCUAGUAAUCGCGGAUCAGCAUGUCGCGGUGAAUACGUUCCUGUCUUGUACACAACGCCUGUCACACCAUGGGAGUGGGUUUUACCAGAAGUAGUUAGCCUAACCGUAAGGAGGGCGAUUACCACGGUAGGAUUCAUGACUGGGGUGAAGUCGUAACAAGGUAA
rnacentral:rRNA from 1 species